AUACGUAGGUGGCGAGCGUUAUUCGGAUUUACUGGGCGUAAAGGGUCCGCAGGGGGUUUGCCAAGUCUGAUGUGAAAUGUCCCGGCUCAACCGGGAACCUGCAUUGGAAACUGGCGAACUGGAGUACAUGAUGGGAGAGCGGAAUUCCUGGUGUAGCGGUGGAAUGCGUAGAUAUCAGGAAGAACACCGAUGGCGAAGGCGGCUCUCUGGCAUGGUACUGACCCUCAUGGACGAAAGCGUGGGUAGCGAACAGGAUUAGAUACCCUGGUAGUCCACGCCGUAAACGUUGUGCACUAGAUGUGGGCCGUUUCGAUCCGGUCCGUGUCCAAGCUAACGCGUUAAGUGCACCGCCUGGGGACUACGGCCGCAAGGCUAAA
rnacentral:rRNA from 1 species